rnacentral:rRNA from 1 species
CUUGCUGCUUCGCUGACGAGUGGCGGACGGGUGAGUAAUGUCUGGGAAACUGCCUGAUGGAGGGGGAUAACUACUGGAAACGGUAGCUAAUACCGCAUAACGUCGCAAGACCAAAGAGGGGGACCUUCGGGCCUCUUGCCAUCGGAUGUGCCCAGAUGGGAUUAGCUUGUUGGUGGGGUAACGGCUCACCUAGGCGACGAUCCCUAGCUGGUCUGAGAGGAUGACCAGCCACACUGGAACUGAGACACGGUCCAGACUCCUACGGGAGGCAGCAGUGGGGAAUAUUGCACAAUGGGCGCAAGCCUGAUGCAGCCAUGCCGCGUGUAUGAAGAAGGCCUUCGGGUUGUAAAGUACUUUCAGCGGGGAGGAAGGGAGUAAAGUUAAUACCUUUGCUCAUUGACGUUACCCGCAGAAGAAGCACCGGCUAACUCCGUGCCAGCAGCCGCGGUAAUACGGAGGGUGCAAGCGUUAAUCGGAAUUACUGGGCGUAAAGCGCACGCAGGCGGUUUGUUAAGUCAGAUGUGAAAUCCCCGGGCUCAACCUGGGAACUGCAUCUGAUACUGGCAAGCUUGAGUCUCGUAGAGGGGGGUAGAAUUCCAGGUGUAGCGGUGAAAUGCGUAGAGAUCUGGAGGAAUACCGGUGGCGAAGGCGGCCCCCUGGACGAAGACUGACGCUCAGGUGCGAAAGCGUGGGGAGCAAACAGGAUUAGAUACCCUGGUAGUCCACGCCGUAAACGAUGUCGACUUGGAGGUUGUGCCCUUGAGGCGUGGCUUCCGGAGCUAACGCGUUAAGUCGACCGCCUGGGGAGUACGGCCGCAAGGUUAAAACUCAAAUGAAUUGACGGGGGCCCGCACAAGCGGUGGAGCAUGUGGUUUAAUUCGAUGCAACGCGAAGAACCUUACCUGGUCUUGACAUCCACAGAACUUUCCAGAGAUGGAUUGGUGCCUUCGGGAACUGUGAGACAGGUGCUGCAUGGCUGUCGUCAGCUCGUGUUGUGAAAUGUUGGGUUAAGUCCCGCAACGAGCGCAACCCUUAUCCUUUGUUGCCAGCGGUCCGGCCGGGAACUCAAAGGAGACUGCCAGUGAUAAACUGG